UCCACCAUUUGAGUACGGCCGAGAAAUAUGUCCAUCUCAUUUGUUUUAUAACAAUAUGAUGAUGAUGAAAUCUCUUGUUAACUAGAAACAUAGAUUUUAUGAAGACAGCAGUGGUAGCUCGUGAAUAUGUGCUGUUAGAUAGUUUAUGUAAGUUUCCUCAUCAAUUUGAGGUUUAGAAGCCGACAAGUAACUUAUUGAGCGCUCGUUCUUUUAAAAAUGAUAGAUAGAGAAUACCGGAAAUGAAAUACUGAAUAUUUCAGUGAUAAAUGGUGUGAGCGAAUUUAAAAUUCCCGUGUGAAAUAACUCGCACACCAAGAGCAACUCCGUUUGUUUCCUUACUAAAUUGACUGUUCCGAGUCCUAUCAUUGCUGCCUUCUGCUACCACCUAAGUGACCUAAGUGUAUUUUGGGGCAGGUUCCUUGAGAUGCUGGGUCGUUUUACGAUGGACGAGACCAUUUGCGCUGAUGAUGAACGGUUUUAUAUGGCUGCUCAUCUCAGAUUCGUCAUUGACCGGCCUGAUCCCCUUCGAU